AUUGAACGAUGGCGGCAGGCUCAACACAUGCAAGCCGGCCGAGUGGCGCACGGGCGAGUGCUGUCCGGCAAACCGCCUGAUGGAGGGGGACAACCACUGGAUACUGUAUCUAAUACCGAAUACCAUGCGAUGUGCCCACAUGGGAUUAGCUAGCAGGUGGGGUAAAGGCUCACCUAGGCUACGCCCCCCAGCGGGUCUGAGAGGAUGACCAGCCACACUGGAACUGAGCCACGGUCCAUACUCCGACGAGAGGCAGCAGUGGGUGAUAUUGCACAAUGGGCGCAAGCCUGAUGCGGCCAUGCCGCGUGUAUGAAGAAGGCCUUCGGGUUUGAAAGUACUUUCAGCGGGGAGGCGUUACCCGCAGAAGAAGCACCGGCUAACUCCGUGCCAGCAGCCGCGGUAAUUC
rnacentral:rRNA from 1 species